rnacentral:lncRNA from 1 species
UGACAUUCAGUGAAGUACCAGGUUCAAAUAAUUAGAAGAUUUUAAUUCAGGUAUCCACUGGACUUGAGCUGACCCUAGACUGAUCUCAUGGCAUCUUUGGGGGACCUGAAUCAACAGCUUCCAGCUCAGAACAGGAAUCUGAAACAUAGCACCUACCUCUGAAGACACUAAACAAAAUGCACAAAAUGUCUAUUUGGACCAGAAGGAGCAUUUGAGACUGUCAGUGGCUGUCUUCAAGGGUUCAGAGAACUGAUGUGAUUCCCUCCUCUGCUAUAUUUCUGGAAAAGCAGUUCACCGACCAACUCUAACUAGAGGAAACUUGGGCUGACACUGAACAUUCACUUCGUGCUUUCCCAAAGCCUAAGGGAGCUUUGUGGAAGGGAGG